rnacentral:rRNA from 1 species
GACGAACGCUGGCGGCGUGCUUAACACAUGCAAGUCGAACGGAAAGGCCCCCUUGUGGGGUACUCGAGUGGCGAACGGGUGAGUAACACGUGAGUAACCUACCCUUGACUUUUGGAUAACUUCAGGAAACUGGGGCUAAUACCGGAUAGGAGCUCCUGCUGCAUGGUGGGGGUUGGAAAGUUUCGGCGGUUGGGGAUGGACUCGCGGCUUAUCAGCUUGUUGGUGGGGUAGUGGCUCACCAAGGCUUUGACGGGUAGCCGGCCUGAGAGGGUGACCGGCCACAUUGGGACUGAGAUACGGCCCAGACUCCUACGGGAGGCAGCAGUGGGGAAUAUUGCACAAUGGGCGGAAGCCUGAUGCAGCAACGCCGCGUGCGGGAUGACGGCCUUCGGGUUGUAAACCGCUUUCGCCUGUGACGAAGCGUGAGUGACGGUAAUGGGUAAAGAAGCACCGGCUAACUACGUG